rnacentral:rRNA from 1 species
UACGGAGGAGGCAAGCGUUAUCCGGAAUUAUUGGGCGUAAAGCGUCCGCAGGUGGCGAUUCAAGUCUGCGGUCAAAGACUGGGGCUUAACCCUGGAAAGGCCGUGGAAACUGAAUAGCUAGAGUGCAGUAGGGGUAGAGGGAAUUCCCGGUGUAGCGGUGAAAUGCGUAGAUAUCAAGAGGAACACCUGAGGUGAAGACGGGUUGCUGGGCUGACACUGACGCUGAGGCGCGAAAGCUAGGGUAGCAAACGGG